UGCCUACGGGUGGCAGCAGUGGGGAAUAUUGCACAAUGGGCGCAAGCCUGAUGCAGCGACGCCGCGUGAGGGAUGACGGCCUUCGGGUUGUAAGCCUCUUUCAGCAGGGAAGAAGCGAAAGUGACGGUACCUGCAGAAGAAGCGCCGGCUAACUACGUGCCAGCAGCCGCGGUGAUACGUAGGGCGCAAGCGUUGUCCGGAAUUAUUGGGCGUAAAGAGCUCGUAGGCGGUCAGUCGCGUCUGCUGUGAAAACUCGAGGCUCAACCUCGGGCUUGCAGGGGGUACGGGCUGACUAGAGUGCGGUAGGGGUGACUGGAAUUCCUGGUGUAGCGGUGGAAUGCGCAGAUAUCAGGAGGAACACCGAUGGCGAAGGCAGGUCACUGGGCCGCAACUGACGCUGAGGAGCGAAAGCAUGGGGAGCGAACAGGAUUAGAUACCCCUGUAGUCCG
rnacentral:rRNA from 1 species